UGUUCUCUGGUUUGUGCGCCAGCCAGGCUAUGUCCCUGAGCCGAUGCUUUAUCCCCCGGGGACGAAUAUGGUGGCACUGUGUGCAUGUCCGCUGCGGCGGAAAGCCUGACGUUCCACUUGCCGUCUCCACCUUGAACCCUUGGGUUCAAGGACCAGGCCGGCAGCGGCUCUACCGGAGGGUGC
rnacentral:other from 1 species